GACGAACGCUGGCGGCGUGCUUAACACAUGCAAGUCGAACGGAAAGGCCCUGCUUUUGUGGGGUGCUCGAGUGGCGAACGGGUGAGUAACACGUGAGUAACCUGCCCUUGACUUUGGGAUAACUUCAGGAAACUGGGGCUAAUACCGGAUAGGAGCUCCUGCUGCAUGGUGGGGGUUGGAAAGUUUCGGCGGUUGGGGAUGGACUCGCGGCUUAUCAGCUUGUUGGUGGGGUAGUGGCUUACCAAGGCUUUGACGGGUAGCCGGCCUGAGAGGGUGACCGGCCACAUGGGGACGGGGAUAGGGCCCAGACCCCUACGGGGGGCAGGGGGGGGAAAUAUUGCACAAGGGGCGGAAGCCUGAUGCAGCAACGCCGGGGGGGGGAUGACGGCCUUGGGGUUGUAAACCGCUUUCGCCUGUGACGAAGCGGGAGUGACGGUAAUGGGGAAAGAAGCACCGGCUAACUACGG
rnacentral:rRNA from 1 species